UACGGAGGGUGCUAGCGUUGUUCGGAAUCACUGGGCGUAAAGGGCGUGUAGGCGGUCUGUUAAGUCGGGUGUGAAAGCCCUGGGCUCAACCCAGGAAGUGCAUUCGAAACUGGCGGGCUUGAAUAUGGAAGAGGGUCGCGGAAUUCCCGGUGUAGAGGUGAAAUUCGUAGAUAUCGGGAGGAACACCAGUGGCGAAGGCGGCGACCUGGGCCAAUAUUGACGCUGAGGUGCGAAAGCGUGGGGAGCAAACAGG
rnacentral:rRNA from 1 species